ensembl:lncRNA
GGCGACUAGUAACCAGCAGGUCUAGUGGUUAGAGUGGAGGGGCAGCAGGUCUAGUGGUUAGAGUGGAGGGGCGACUAGUAACCAGCAGGUCUAGUGGUUAGAGUGGCGGGGAAGCAGGUCUAGUGGUUAGAGUGGAGGGGCGACUAGUAACCAGCAGGUCUAGUGGUUAGAGUGGAGGGGCAACUAGUAACCAGCAGGUCUAGUGGUUAGAGUGGAGGGGCAGCAGGUCUAGUGGUUAGAGUGGAGGGGCAGCAGGGUAGCCUAGUGGUUAGAGUGGAGGGGCGGCAGGAUGGCACAGCAGGUCUAGUGGUUAGAGUGGAGGGGCAGCAGGUCUAGUGGUUAGAGUGGAGGGGCAGCAGGUCUAGUGGUUAGAGUGGAGGGGCGACUAGUAACCAGCAGGUCUGGUGGUUAGAGUGGUGGAGGGGCAACUAGUAACCAGCAGGUCUAGUGGUUAGAGUGGAGGGGCAGCAGGUCUAGUGGUUAGAGUGGAGGGGCAGCAGGGUAGCCUAGUGGUUAGAGUGGAGGGGCGGCAGGUCUAGUGGUUAGAGUGGAGGGGCAGCAGGUCUAGUGGUUAGAGUGGAGGGGCAGCAGGUCUAGUGGUUAGAGUGGAGGGGCAGCUGGUCUAGUGGUUAGAGUGGAGGGGCAGCUGGUCUAGUGGUUAGAGUGGAGGGGCAGCUGGUCUAGUGGUUAGAGUGGAGGGGCGGCAGGG